rnacentral:rRNA from 1 species
UACGAAGGGGGCUAGCGUUGUUCGGAAUUACUGGGCGUAAAGCGCGCGCAGGCGGCUAUCCAAGUCAGUGGUGAAAGCCCGGAGCUCAACUCCGGAACUGCCAUUGAAACUGUUUAGCUUGAGGAUGAGAGAGGUGAGUGGAAUUCCCAGUGUAGAGGUGAAAUUCGUAGAUAUUGGGAAGAACACCGGUGGCGAAGGCGGCUCACUGGCUCAUUACUGACGCUGAGGAGCGAAAGCGUGGGGAGCGAACAGG